ACAGCCGAUGCCUCUUAACCACCACUGUCCAUUUACUUUGGUUUGAAGUCUCUGUAUCCAAGUAGCCAGACCUUAGCUUUUUCUUGUACCACUAGAGGGAGUCCAGUUAUAAGAUGGAGACACAAACACAGCUUAUCAUAGCCAAGCAUUUGCAUGAAGCUGUGAUGCUCUGGUACAGCCGAAUGUAGCACUUCUGUGUGGAAGACAUAUUGGUCUUAAGAGGUUUAGUCCUGGGGCUACAAGGUUGAGUUUGGCCGCCAUGAGAUAUUUAUUUGUUGGUGAAGGUCUUCAGUGAAGUUUUGUAGUGUUACUCAGAUGCUGACAAAGUAUGUUCGUUCCUCUUUGCCUUUCUUUUGUGUUGAUUGUUCUCAGAAUAAGAAAAAUAUUCAUGCAACGCUACCAAAUACAAUCACAAGUGAAAACAGACAGACAGAAGGUCAGGGAGAACGUGGGCCAGCACUUCCAAUCCUGGGAAGGUGUUAUACAGUGUUGCAGAUCACUGUGAAAGACAGACACAAUGGAAAGCCCCACCCAUUUACCAUGCUUGUCCAUGACCACUGAAUGCUCUGUUGUGGGCCUGAGCCCAUCUGUCUGUCACUGAACCAAGUAACUCAACAGCCAGCUGACCAGCCUGCCUGCUGCCGCCACAACCUCCUUCAUGUCCUGCGGAUAGGGCCACUGCAGCAACCACUAAAAACAUAGAUGUGACGAGAUGGUGGAAUAAACAGAGACAUGAACAAUCUUUAAAAUGUAACUAUACUCUGGAAUUUGUAUUAAUGUAUUUCCUGGGAGAGAUUUUACCUUA
rnacentral:lncRNA from 1 species